rnacentral:rRNA from 1 species
AUUGAACGCUGGCGGCAUGCCUUGCACAUGCAAGUCGAACGGCAGCGCGGGAGCAAUCCUGGCGGCGAGUGGCGAACGGGUGAGUAAUACAUCGGAACGUGCCCAAUCGUGGGGGAUAACGCAGCGAAAGCUGUGCUAAUACCGCAUACGAUCUACGGAUGAAAGCAGGGGAUCGCAAGACCUUGCGCGAAUGGAGCGGCCGAUGGCAGAUUAGGUAGUUGGUGAGGUAAAGGCUCACCAAGCCUUCGAUCUGUAGCUGGUCUGAGAGGACGACCAGCCACACUGGGACUGAGACACGGCCCAGACUCCUACGGGAGGCAGCAGUGGGGAAUUUUGGACAAUGGGCGAAAGCCUGAUCCAGCCAUGCCGCGUGCAGGAUGAAGGCCUUCGGGUUGUAAACUGCUUUUGUACGGAACGAAACGGUCUUUUCUAAUAAAGAAGGCUAAUGACGGUACCGUAAGAAUAAGCACCGGCUAACUACGUG